UUUAUGGAGAGUUUGAUCCUGGCUCAGGAUGAACGCUGGCGGCGUGCCUAAUACAUGCAAGUCGAGCGAACGGACGAGAAGCUUGCUUCUCUGAUGUUAGCGGCGGACGGGUGAGUAACACGUGGAUAACCUACCUAUAAGACUGGGAUAACUUGGGGAAACCGGAGCUAAUACCGGAUAAUAUUUUGAACCGCAUGGUUCAAAAGUGAAAGACGGUCUUGCUGUCACUUAUAGAUGGAUCCGCGCUGCAUUAGCUAGUUGGUAAGGUAAC
rnacentral:rRNA from 1 species